rnacentral:sRNA from 12 species
CCGCGCCUGCGGCGGGUGCAGCACGCUUUUUUGAAACACAAGCCUUGCAGGCGGCCCGAGCGUGUACCACCUGGUGAUCGGCAAUUUUGCCGAUUCAAAAUCAUUCC